rnacentral:ncRNA from 2 species
GUAUAAUUAAAUAUAUUUACUCGUAUAUACUCGGUAAUAUGGUCUGAGUGUCUCUACCCGGUUCCCAUGUAAGAACUGGACUACGAUUUGAAGUAUAUGGAAA